UUGAGAGUUAGAGAAUCUCUAACUCUUAUGAGGAACCAUAUGUAAAGGUUGCCGAAACCGUUUUCCUAUCCCCUCCUUUAAAAUUCCAUCAUGGCCGACUUCUACAGCCUGACACUUCGGCACUUUGGAAUCAAGCUGUGAAUUAAGUAAACGGGGGGAAUAUUAGCCACAAGAUUUGUUAAUCUAAUCAAAGAGAACAAUUUUUAUUUUUAAACUUUAUGUUAUUACAAUCUGUGUUCAUGAGAGAAUCCUAGAGUUUAAUAUGACAGUAUUUCAGUUGUUUUCCAAUCAACUAGUGGAAUCUAGUUGCUUGUUAGCUGAUGAUGUCUUCAAAAAUCCAAGUAUCCAAGAGUUUCAGAAUUCCUUAUUCCGCUCCUCGGGGGAUUAAGCACUCCAGGUACUUCAGCGGCAAGUCGCUAACCCUUUCGACUGGAUGGCUGGACGGCCUGCGAGUCCUUUCAAUCUGUUCAAGGUGUUGAAUCCUGGAAGUGUUGCUGACUUCUAACUCCGCCACUCCAACUCCAGUCAACAUUUGGUCUUGCGAAUGCAUCUAUACUUUCUUGCCAGAAGCCAUUCUUUAGUGAGAAGCCGGAGGAUUUUGAUUCCUUCAACAUUUUUAACAUUAUUAGUUACGUCCCUGAGAUCGCGUGUCGGCCGCCGACGUCAAUCUACAACGCAUUUGUUUUCUUUAUUAGAAAUUUGUGGUCCUGGCACGGCGAUCCUUGAGCAGAUGCUGGCCUUGUCCAUGA